UAGCAUAUCAAUAAGCGGAGGAAAAGAAACCAACAGGGAUUGCCCCAGUAACGGCGAGUGAAGCGGCAAGAGCUCAAAUUUGAAAGCUGGCUCCUUCGGGGUCCGCAUUGUAAUUUGCAGAGGAUGCUUCGGGAGCGGUCCCCAUCUAAGUUCCCUGGAACGGGACGUCAUAGAGGGUGAAAAUCCCGUAUGGGAUGGGGUGUCCGCGCCCGUGUGAAGCUCCUUCGACGAGUCGAGUUGUUUGGGAAUGCAGCUCUAAAUGGGUGGUAAAUUUCAUCUAAAGCUAAAUAUUGGCCGGAGACCGAUAGCGCACAAGUAGAGUGAUCGAAAGAUGAAAAGCACUUUGAAAAGAGAGUUAAAAAGCACGUGAAAUUGUUGAAAGGGAAGCGCUUGCGACCAGACUCGCUCGCGGGGUUCAGCCGGCAUUCGUGCCGGUGUACUUCCCCGCGGGCGGGCCAACGUCGGUUUGGGCGGUCGGUCAAAGGCCCUCGGAAGGUAACGCCCCCAGGGGCGUCUUAUAGCCGAGGGUGCAAUGCGACCUGCCUAGACCGAGGAACGCGCUUCGGCUCGGACGUUGGCAUAAUGGUCGUAAGCGACCCGUCUUGAAACACGGACCAAGGAGUCUAACAUCUACGCGAGUGUUCGGGUGUCAAACCCGUGCGCGCAGUGAAAGCGAACGGAGGUGGGAACCCUUUGGGUGCACCAUCGACCGAUCCUGAUGUCUUCGGAUGGAUUUGAGUAAGAGCGUAGCUGUUGGGACCCGAAAGAUGGUGAACUAUGCCUGAAUAGGGCGAAGCCAGAGGAAACUCUGGUGGAGGCUCGUAGCGGUUCUGACGUGCAAAUCGAUCGUCGAAUUUGGGUAUAGGGGCGAAAGAC
rnacentral:rRNA from 1 species